rnacentral:rRNA from 1 species
CUACCUGCAGUCGAGCGAGACCUAGGCUUCGGCCUAGGGGAAAGCGGCGAACGGGUGAGUAUCACGUGGGUAAUCUGCCCUCGACAUCGGGAUAGCCCGGGGAAACCCGGAUUAAUACCGAAUGGCCCAUCCGCUCUUCGGAGCGGCUGGAAAAGGUAGCUUCGGCCUCCGGUCGAGGAGGAGCCCGCGGCGGAUUAGCUUGUUGGUGAGGUAAUGGCUCACCAAGGCGACGAUCCGUAGCUGGUCUGAGAGGACGAUCAGCCACACUGGGACUGAGACACGGCCCAGACUCCUACGGGAGGCAGCAGUGGGGAAUCUUGCGCAAUGGGCGAAAGCCUGACGCAGCGACGCCGCGUGCGGGAAGAAGGCCUUCGGGUUGUAAACCGCUUUCAGGAGGGACGAAGCCACUCGGGUUAAUAGCCCAGAGGGUGACGGUACCUCCAGAAGAAGCCCCGGCUAACUACGUGCCAGCAGCCGCGGUAAUACGUAGGGGGCUAGCGUUGUCCGGAUUUAUUGGGCGUAAAGAGCGUGUAGGCGGCCAGAUAGGUCUGCUGUGAAAACUCGAGGCUCAACCUCGAGCUGUCGGCGGAAACCAUUUGGCUAGAGUCCGGAAGAGGAAAGUGGAAUUCCUGGUGUAGCGGUGAAAUGCGCAGAUAUCAGGAAGAACACCCGUGGCGAAGGCGGCUUUCUGGGACGGUACUGACGCUGAGACGCGAAAGCGUGGGGAGCGAACAGGAUUAGAUACCCUGGUAGUCCACGCUGUAAACGAUGGGUGCUAGGUGUGGGCGGUGUCGACUCCGUCCGUGCCGAAGCUAACGCAUUAAGCACCCCGCCUGGGGAGUACGGCCGC